UAGUUUAGGUGGUUAGUUAGGUAAUUAAUUUAGGUGAUUAGUUAGGUGAUGGAAUAAUAGUUUAGGUGAUUAGUUAGGUGACGGAAUAAUAUUUUAAUUAUGUCAUAAUUGAUUAAAUUUAUUUUAAUUUUUUUAGAUGGCUCCUAAGAGGAAACCAGCAGCACCUACUUAUUCUCAGUUGUUUGGCGAUGGUUCCGGAGCAUCUUUUUCCGGUUCAUCAUCUUCCGAUGCAGUUCCAGACUCUCAGACUUCUCAGAGAGUUUCUUGGAGUCCUCCUCCUCCACCGCAGAUGCCUCCACCUCCUCCUCUAGCGGCUGCAUCUCAGCCUGCCCCAGCAGGUGCAGUUCAUCCAGAUUUG
rnacentral:lncRNA from 1 species